AAAACAGGUUUCUCUAAUUUUUGUGCUAUUUUCACAUUUCCUGACUGGUGUGAGAAAAAUAUUUCUCCUCACUAGUGAAAAAUCUGUUCUCGGCAAAUGAUUAGUCAUAUUUAAUUAUGACGUCAAAAUGUUUUGUUUUCUUCUCAAUUUUCCUAUUGUGACGUCAUGAAAAAAGGCGACCUUGCCUGAUGACGUCGCAUAUAAAGAAC
rnacentral:lncRNA from 1 species